rnacentral:rRNA from 1 species
CCUACGGGGGGCUGCAGUGGGGAAUAUUGGACAAUGGGGGGAACCCUGAUCCAGCCAUGCCGCGUGUGUGAAGAAGGCCCUCGGGUUGUAAAGCACUUUCAGUGAGGAAGAACGCCUGGUGGUUAAUACCCAUCAGGAAAGACAUCACUCACAGAAGAAGCACCGGCUAACUCCGUGCCAGCAGCCGCGGUAAUACGGAGGGUGCGAGCGUUAAUCGGAAUUACUGGGCGUAAAGCGCGCGUAGGUGGCUUGAUAAGCCGGUUGUGAAAACCCCGGGCUCAACCUGGGAACGGCAUCCGGAACUGUCAAGCUAGAGUGCAGGAGAGGAAGGUAGAAUUCCCGGUGUAGCGGUGAAAUGCGUAGAGAUCGGGAGGAAUACCAGUGGCGAAGGCGGCCUUCUGGACUGACACUGACACUGAGGUGCGAAAGCGUGGGUAGCAAACAGGAUUAGAUACCCGUGUAGUC